rnacentral:lncRNA from 12 species
CUAAGGAAAAGCUGCUUUUGCCUCAAAAAGAUGUCACGUGCCAAUAUUUAAUGCACAGCUCGUGGCUUCAGGCUGAGACCUGCUGGUCCUGUAGCAGUGACAGUGCAGUGACCUCCUGCAUCCACCUGCACAGUUCCCAGGGCAACAGAGCUGCAGGUAACCCCCUAGGAAAGAGGAACCUUCUGUCGUGGCUAAUAUGGAUCUUGAUCAAUGACUCUUCCAAAGCUUGGAUCUGGC